UGGUGUAGUGGUUAGUGAGUCUGACUGCUAUGCAGAAAGGCUCGGGUUCGAUCCCCGGCCGGUAAA
rnacentral:tRNA from 1 species